rnacentral:rRNA from 1 species
CCCUUAGAUGUUCUGGGCCGCACGCGCGCUACACUGAUGCAUUCAACGAGUUUCUUCCUGGUCCGAGAGGAAUGGGUAACCUUUUGAAAGUGCAUCGUGAUAGGGAUAGACUAUUGCAAUUAUUGGUCUUCAACGAGGAAUUCCUAGUAGACGUAGUUCAUCAGACUGCAUCGAUUACGUCCCUGCCCUUUGUACACACCACCCGUCGCACCUACCGAUUGGAUGGUCCGGUGAAGCCUCGGGAUUGUGGUUCUUGCCGCUUUAUUGUGGCGUGACCGCGAGAACUUGUCUAAACCUUAUCAUCUAGAGGAAGGUGAAGUCGUAACA